AAGCUGAAAUAUAUAAGCUGUUUGUUGAAAUCUAGCUACGAAAUUAGACGAAAACGUUAAUAAAACAAGAAAAAGACGGUCGCCAAGACAAUUGCCUUUCAAUUAAAUUGAUAGACACAUAUUCAUAUGCGGUAGCACAUGUUGAUAUUGUAGUUAGAUGAGCUGACGCGUGACAAUGAGUUCAGUGCUGACAACGGUAGUCUUCCCUCCCUGCCACUCAAAGCCUCUCAGUGUUUGCCUAGCUGUCAGAGAAGUGAAGGGCACUCUCAGUCUCGAAUGGAUAUCGAAUCGGCCGUUUACAGCCCUCUUUCCGCACGUUGCGUAUACCAUAGUCCACCAGUGGCAUUUCAGUGAUAUUUUUAUCAAUGGGCCACCGUCAUUCAUGAAAAUCUUGAAGGAAAGGAUAAAUAUAUUGGUCUAAGUUCCGUAAAAUUAUUUCCGGCAUACGUUUUUAUCAUAGAUAAGUACGUUUAUCUUUACAGAUUACGAAUAGUGAUUGAUUUACUAACGACAAACAGGAAGCAUAAGUUAUGAGUAUAUUCAACACCGUCGCAGAUACUGAUGUUUUAUCCAAUAUUCUGUAAUAUUUUGGUGAACCUAUCGAUGUAUUAUAUCCUCAUCGAUUUAGAUAUCUUUUGGAUAUGUUGUAGAAAUCGAUAUUUUGAACAAUUUUUUCUUAUAAAUAUCGUAUAACCGGCACUCUCGCUUAGUUCUCGAGAUAUUUGCAAAAAAUUGUCGAUACCACCACAAUAAAUUCGUAAUUGUGCGUCCGUAGUAACAUAUGUGUUAGAAUUGGUUGCCGACCGCCUAACGACGGCCGGAUUAGAUGACGACUAACCCAAACCUAAUUCUUAUGUUUUGCCUAUAGUUUACGUAAAGAUACGAAUUUAGUUUGGGUUAAGUGUCAUUUAAUCCGACCGCCACGCCGUGUCGUAAGGCCGCCGACAACCCAUACUACUAACACGGACGCAGAAUUAUAGACAGAAUUCAGUGUGUUAGCACUGGCUGUUUUGCGCGAAUAUCUCGGAAAUUAAGCAUACCCGUCAGUUAUAUGUGCAGGAAAAAGUUGUUCACAAUAUUAAUUUGUACAACAUAUCCAAAAGUUAUUAAAAUCGAUGAUGACGUAACACAUCGAUAGAUUACCAUCAUGUAAGUAUUUCGCAUUAAAAUACCAUAAUACGGAACUUGUUUUGCAAGGAAUUACCUUGAAAUGACAAUCACCAAUUUUAUU
rnacentral:misc_RNA from 1 species